rnacentral:rRNA from 1 species
UGAUAGGACAGUUGGGGGCAUUCGUACUCCAUUGUCAGAGGUGAAAUUCUUGGAUUUAUGGAAGACGAACUACUGCGAAAGCAUUUGCCAAGGAUGUUUUCAUU